rnacentral:rRNA from 1 species
UACGUCAACAUCCUUAACGAAUUUAACCCGUUCUAACCUUUUGACCGUACACUAUAAUACCAUAAGCAAGCUUUCGGCACCAGAGUGACAUGUCAGAGGCCAGGCGGAUAGCCCAUGAGGGUAUUCAUUGCAAUCCUCGAUCCCAUCCGUUACAUAUACCAAAGGCUAUAACACUUCAAUACGAGAUCGAAGCUACAUUCCUCCAGUCAUUUUAUAACGGUCGAAACCGACGUUGACCUACAAUACGAGAAAGUGCACCCAAAAAGAGCAGGUUGUGAAAAACAAAGGCUCUCUGAAUCCCACAAGUCCACCCUCAAAAGGUUGAUUCCCCGUUAGUACGACUGACUUUAAUCGUUUCCCUUUCAACAAUUUCACGUACUGUUUAACUCUCUUUUCAAAGUUCUUUUCAUCUUUCCCUCACGGUACUUGUUCGCUAUCGGUUUCUCGCCAAUAUUUAGCUUUAGAUGGAAUUUACCACCCAUUUUGAGCUGCAUUCCCAAACAACUCGACUCGUUGAGAGCACAACACAAAGUACUGGGAGUCCAUGUCAAGGACGGGAUUCUCACCCUCUAUGACGCUCUGUUCCAAGAGACUUGUACAUGGUCCAGCACGGAUGAUGCUUCUCUAGACUACAACUCGGACAGAAUACACUGCCAGAUUUUAAAUUUGAGCUCUUCCCGCUUCACUCGCCGUUACUAGGGGAAUCCUUGUUAGUUUCUUUUCCUCCGCUUAUUGAUAUCG